GUUGCUUCGUAAACCAGAAAAAUCUCUCUUUCUUUCUAUCUUUCUUCUUAUUUCCUGCACUGUAUAAAAACUCAUUUUGUUUGAGUAAAAAUGAGAAAUAACAUAAUAUUUGUUUUAUCCAAACCUUAUACUGAGAAAAAUUACUUUUAAUUGUUACAUAAAGAAAACUGAACUUUUUUAUUAUAGAACUUUGCACUUAUUAGACAUUUUAUAUUUAUAUUUAUCUUUAUUUUUGUAAAAACUUCAGUCCUCUACGCUAAUCAGCGCUGUCGCUCGGCCUGUUGCGGAUAAAUUAGCGCGUAGAAUGUCAGGAGGUCGGCUCCUGCAACGGAUCUGUACACGGUUAGCAUACAGAACUCAUUUUCCUCCACAAACUCCUGUAACUCGACUCUUGUUCAGGUUCCGCUAACGGCUAAUCGCUUCUAAAUCUUCAAUUACUGAGAGACUCAAACCAGACGCAGACCCUCGUUCACUCUCUCUCGCGCUCUCUCUCUCUCUUUCUCUCUCUCUCUCUCACACACACACACACACACACACAGAGCACAAAAGCCACUUGUUAACGUCGUUGUCGUCCUCUCAACAACUAAACGUUAGCAAUUAGGUGCUAUUAUUACUUUGUACAAAUGGCAGGAAAUUUUUCGUCCAACUCUCAGAAACUUCCUCAAAAGAAAAAAAAAAAACAGGAUUCCAGCUAACAAAGUGCUAACGCUACUGUAUAACCACCACAGUGCUUCCAUUUCCAGCCUAAAUGAAUGCUAAUGCUCCAACUAGCUUAACAUUAAAAAAAAAAAACAGCACCGGAAAGAGCUAACACUCAUUACUAUAUUUUAGUAUCAGCACAUUAACAAAACAUUCUCCCUUUCAUACACACACACACACACACACACACACACACACACACACACACAUACAAGAAGUAAUCAAACUAGCAUAACAGCCACCAGACCAACCAAAACACUCCAGACUGCCGAAAUAAAAUGCUAAGUGGAAUAGGACUAACACAAAAUUAGCCUUAAAUUUAAAAAAAAAAAAAGAAAAAAAAAAGAAAAAAAAGGUGUUAAUCUGAAGAGAGUUCACUCUGAAAUAUUAGCAUAGUGCUAAUGCAAAAGUAAAAUGCUAACCUGAAGAGCGCUAAUGUUGAAGUAAGUGUAGCGUUCACUCUGAAAUAUGCGUAACGCUAAUAACCUGACUAGCAUCCUAAUCUGAAUACCGCUAGUGCUAAAAUAAACUGAAUUAAACGCGUUCAAACUUCAGUGCAUGUUUGUGCAAAAAAAAGUGUGCGUGUGUGUGUGUGCAUGGGUGUGUGUGUGUGUGUGUGUGUGUGUGUGCAUGGGUGUGUGUGUGUGUGUGUGUGUGUGUGUGUCACAGCUGAAGCAUCCUGACCCCACUUCGACCCUGACAUUAAGGCAAAAAGUGACACGAUGGGACAGAAGAGGCCGUGACGACGGACAGAUCGGUCCUGCGAGUGUACUACACAGAGACGCAGCGGCAAGAACAGAGAGACAAACAGAAAGAGAGAAAGAGAGAGAGAGAGAGAGAGAGAGAGAGAUAGAGAGAGAGAGAGAGAGAGAGAGAGAGAGAGAGACGAAAAAGUGAGAGACUCAUCCUAGACUUGCCGUGACAUUACUGCACUGACAACUUUGUGGGUCCCUCCCACUCUUCUGUGUGUGUGUGUGUGUGUGUGUGUGUGUGUGUGUGUGUGUGUGUGUGUGUAUGUGAGACAGGUCGGAAAGGAGACGAAAGGAAAGUCCAUUGCGGUGCUCCCUUUAUCAGGCCUUACAAAGUUCACAGAUAGGGAAGACAAGUCCAAGGUGCAGAGUACCCCUUCAUUGAACCAUGUGAAGUCGUUUGUGGGUGUGGCUUGUGAAUCAUCAUCAGUAGACUUGUGUAAAACAUUGUGAGGGUCCGGAACCACGGAAACACACGGCCAAUCAGAGAGCAGUUCAGCCCUUUGCAGAAGUAACAGAAGCUGAAGCUAAUCUUAAUGUAGGACCUGUCAAAUACGCCAGCUAGCAAACAUGGCUAGUUAACGCUAGCUAACUAAACCAGGUAAUAAAUAUUAGCAAAAGAUUCUGUUUUUAUUAAUCAGCUGUUGUUUAGUAAUAAUCAGGUCUUCAUUAUUGAGUAAGUAUUUUAGCAGUCAGUGUUUUAAUCAAUCAGCUUUUUAAAUUAAUCUCUAAAGUCCUUUCAGUAGUCCCUUCGUUUUUAUUAAUAAAUCUUUUUUUAGUAAUUACGUCUUUUUUAGUAAUCAAUUUUUUUUAAAUAAAAAAUUAUCUGUUUGUGUCAUUGAUUCUUGUUUAGUAAUAAAUUCUCUUUUGAAGAAAUAGUUUUCAGAGACUCUUUAAUGUUCGGUUCUUAUUUUAGUAAUAAAUUCAGCUUUUAAGGAACUGAA